rnacentral:lncRNA from 1 species
UGAAAAUGAAAAAAAAACCCCAAAUUAAAAAAAAAAUUAAUAAAUGCAGUCUUAGAGUUUGAUUAACUUCUCUUCCAGUAGGUGGAGCUGUGCCCACUGGGCCAAGCUUCUCCUCUCAAUACACUGGAACCAAUCACUGUGCAGCAGCUCUUCCUCCCAGACUGGGCAGGUCUCCAAUCCUGAGUGCCUAGGGCCUUUUCUUGCGUCUAGUCACUUCCCCACUUUUCCUCAAGCCAGGCCCCGCUCACUGGUGAUGCUCACCACAAUACUGGCUACACGCCAGGUCUGCUGCUCCCGGGAGCCCUAUUUUCUUAAACGACUGGGCACACUCUCCCUGUUUGCCAUUCCCUCAGACUCUAAGUUUGUGGAGCUUGGGGCUGAGAACCCUCAGCAUAUUUUGCUUGCCCUCAGGUAGCCACGCCCCGGUAGCUGGUGCAAGAGACCUCAGUUGUCAGCACUGGUGGGAACGGUAGCCGGGGGUUCCGCGCCUUGGGUCCCAUGCCACUCCUGAUUCCCUCGGUCUGGCUAUCGCGCUCACGGGAGAGCUGGGAGGGGCCCUUAAGGUUUCCUCGCUGUGUGGAGAGGGAGGGCUAGGGGGUUACACACCUGUCGCCACUGGUUUCAAUGAAAUUAUCUCCUCCGCCACAUUCUGGUGACUUCAGUUCUCUGCCAUGAUGGUAUCCCAUGCAAAUGGCGACAGUUUGUUCCCUUUGCCAGGUGACCAAUGCAACAGGUGGGUCCUGACUGGCUCUCCCAAGCCCCGUUUCAAUCCUGUGGCCACUGCCUAUGAAUGCUCGGUUGGUAUUAACCUCCGCAGGUUCAGAAGGGCUGACCAGUUGUUUCAGCAGGAUCGUUUAGUGCUGAGUCACAGCGGUUUGUCUGUGAGACGCAGGCGAAGGGUUGCUUGAAUUCUGGGCUUGGUGUGUGUUCUGAGAGGCUCAGACUGUUCACCCCAGAUCCACGUCAGCUCAGCAUUGACUAGUGAUCCUGAGCAAACAGCAUUUAG